GAUGAACGCUGGCGGCGUGCCUAAUACAUGCAAGUCGAGCGAACAGACGAGGAGCUUGCUCCUCUGACGUUAGCGGCGGACGGGUGAGUAACACGUGGAUAACCUACCUAUAAGACUGGGAUAACUUCGGGAAACCGGAGCUAAUACCGGAUAAUAUAUUGAACCGCAUGGUUCAAUAGUGAAAGACGGUUUUGCUGUCACUUAUAGAUGGAUCCGCGCCGCAUUAGCUAGUUGGUAAGGUAACGGCUUACCAAGGCGACGAUGCGUAGCCGACCUGAGAGGGUGGUCGGCCACACUGGAACUGAGACACGGUCCAGACUCCUACGGGAGGCAGCAGCAGGGAAUCUUCCGCAAUGGGCGAAAGCCUGACGGAGCAACGCCGCGUGAGUGAUGAAGGUCUUCGGAUCGUAAAACUCUGUUAUUAGGGAAGAACAAAUGUGUAAGUAACUAUGCACGUCUUGACGGUACCUAAUCAAUAAGCCACGGCUAACUACGUG
rnacentral:rRNA from 1 species